rnacentral:lncRNA from 1 species
AGAUCUGGAAUCGUUGCUCACCGGAGCUUUGAGCGGCAGCGGCGUUGUUGUAUUAUUAUUCGCCGGCGAUGGAGCCACGCCGGAGAAGAAAGAGAGAAAGAGCUGGACGGAAUACCUACAAAAUGAACCAAAAUCGUAAAGGGGAAGGGGAAGGGACUGAUUCGUUUAGCUCCGGUUCAUCGGAGCUUUGAGCUCCUCACCGGAGCUGCUGCCCAGAAAUUGGGAAAAACAAAGGGGGAUUUUGGAUUGGGGUUUAUCGGAGUUCGGCGGUUGAUUCAGCUCGCCGACAAUGGUGAUUUGAGGAGGAAAAUGGAGUUCUGGUUGCUGAACUCUAGUUGUUUCGUUGGAGCUCAUCGACUUUGAGCCAAAAUACCUUAAAAUGAAGAAAAAAACGUGAAAGGGGAAGGGGAAUGGGACUGGCAGCAACUUUAGUGGUUUCCGAGGUCGGGGUUUGGUUUGUUUUGGGUCUGUUGGUGUGUUGUUUCUGGUGGUUGUUUGCUGCUGGAGUUGGUAGAGAAUUGGUGGGUUUGAGGUUUCAGGCGAGGGAGAGGUCUGGUCGGAGAAGAAGAACUGAAAGGCAGUGAAGGUUAGUAGUCGUUUCUGGUAGUUGGAGAAGAAACGGGAAAGGAGGUGGUUGUUCCUCAACGUGAGAGAGAGUACUGGAGGUAGGGGUUGUUUCUGGUCAGGGAAUGGUUGGAGAAGAAGAGCAAAAUGGGUCCGUUUUGGUUGGGGUUUGGUGACUGCCGGAAAAAGGAGAAAAUGAACGGGGUUUUGGUGGUGGAUUCGCCGGAAUCCGGUGGAACUCCGGUGACUUGCCGGAAAAAUAAGGAACAAUGAAAAAAUAAAAAAUCUCUAAAUUACACCCCUAAAAAUCUAAUCC